rnacentral:sRNA from 1 species
AAGUUAUCUACGUUAAAAGCCCAAGGUUCAACGACCGAACAAUUCUUUGUCAGAAUUCCACCUGCGCCUGGGCCCUCAACAGACUUCCGUUGGACACAAUCGAUCAGCAUUCUUUCCAUUUUUUCCUCCUCGAUCCGACAAUAUCCUUCCACCUCGAGGCGUGCUAGCGUCGGAGGUAAAACUGGUGUUGAAGAUAGGUAUUGGGACAGAGAAAACCAUGGCAACCGAAGGUUUACAAUCUUUUUUAGGUGGGAGAAGUUGAGAGGAGGUCCGGCCAAGUCACAUCCGGGAAGACCUAAAUAUAGGCGAGAAUAGAAAUAAAAGGAGUGG